rnacentral:rRNA from 1 species
UCCACAGAACUUUCCAGAGAUGGAUUGGUGCCUUCGGGAACUGUGAGACAGGUGCUGCAUGGCUGUCGUCAGCUCGUGUUGUGAAAUGUUGGGUUAAGUCCCGCAACGAGCGCAACCCUUAUCCUUUGUUGCCAGCGGUUAGGCCGGGAACUCAAAGGAGACUGCCAGUGAUAAACUGGAGGAAGGUGGGGAUGACGUCAAGUCAUCAUGGCCCUUACGACCAGGGCUACACACGUGCUACAAUGGCGCAUACAAAGAGAAGCAAUCUCGCGAGAGCUAGCGGACCUCAUAAAGUGCGUCGUAGUCCGGAUUGGAGUCUGCAACUCGACUCCAUGAAGUCGGAAUCGCUAGUAAUCGUGAAUCAGAAUGUCACGGUGAAUACGUUCCCGGGCCUUGUACACACCGCCCGUCACACCAUGGGAGUGGGUUGCAAAAGAAGUAGGUAGCUUAACCUUCGGGAGGGCGCUUACCACUUUGUGAUUCAUGACUGGGGUGAAGUCGUAACAAGGUAGGCGUAGAUGA